rnacentral:lncRNA from 1 species
CUCUUAGAAGCACGAUGCCACGCUGGCAUCUUGUUGACAGCGCAACACUUCGAUCGUGAUGAGAAGCAGCACGUUUGGUGCCCAACGUUGGUAACGAAGUCAAAGGGCAGGAGUGACAGCUACAGCAAAAAGCAUGUAAAGUUGUCAGACAAAAGGUGGUUGUUGUUGGCUAGUGGGAAGCUAGUGAAGUCAACAUCAUGACAAGAAGCUGCGCAGUGUCCGCUGGAUAAAGAGAGGACCUGCGAGUUGUUUUGUUGCCUAUAUAAGAAGAGAGCUUUCUUCUUAUUAGGGUUAGCACUUUAAGAAGAAAAAGUGUGAGAGUUCUUUGUGUUCAUAUCUGAGUUUUAAACGAAGAAUCGUUGUGGGUUCUUUUGGUGAGUGAACAAAAGAGUGUGCAUAGCUGUUGCUGUGCUUGUAAGCUGGGUAGAUUAGGAAUCGAUCAGGGCCAAAUCACAGUGUGUGAUGUUGGUUAACUCUGAUCAAACAAGCUUGUAAAAGAGUUGUUUGAAGAUUGCUAAUAAAACUAAGUUUGAAGAAAUUUUUGUAUCUGUGUAGUACUUUCAAGGUUCUAGUUCUCUCAAUUGGUAUCAAAGCGGGAAACCGAUCUGUGAGACUUUCUCGUCUCCAAACAGGUUAGAUCCUGAACUAUGGAACCUACUACUGUUGGUGCAGGAACAAGCAAGAACAUCAUUCUGGAUACAAGAAGAUAUGGGUACUGGAAAGUUAGGAUGACACAACUCAUCAGAGGUCAAGUUGAAGAAACAUGGACUGCUGUAGAAAAAGGUUGGGAACCUUCGUUCGAGUCAACUGCUGAAAGGAACAACCAUAGAGAUAAAGCUGAAGAUGAUCGCCUAAGCAUUGUAGUCUUUACUGCCAAAAUUGACAAACUGCAAGAUUCUGAUACUGAUUCAGACAGAAAUGAUGAAGUGAAUCCUAAAAAGGAAUACAGGACGCUCUAUGACAGUUGGAUGCAACUGAGUCAAGACAAGCUUAAACUUCUGGAAGAAAAGCUGAGUCUUGAAGCCAAAAUCACUAGUGCCUAUGAAGAAAAAAAUCGUCCUCCCACUCCUACCUUAAGUUGUGAUAAGUUCACUCAGGACUUGUUCAAGAAAGCUGAAGAUCUUCACAUCUAUCUUAACAAAGAAAGGAUAGAGCAACCAUGCUAGAACGAGAGCUUAACGACAAGCAUAAGCAUAUCAGAAUGUUGAACAGUGCGUCGGGCGACCUGAAUAACAUUCUGAAAAGGCCUGAGCAUCAAGGAUUAGGAUACCAAGAAGGUCAAGAACAGUGCAACAAAAGGUCUGUGAAGUUUACCAGUGGAGGGAUGCUAGAAGAAACAGUGGAUAAUCAACAGUCUGGCAUUGAUAACUUGGUGAAACUUAGUACUGUGAAAAGAAAAGACAAUACUAAAAGUUACUCUACGAGAAGAGUGUUCAACAGAAGGUUUUAUGGAUGUGGUCACUGUGGAAGAAAAGGUCAUCAAAGGAGCAGAUGCUACAAGUUCAAGGAAAGAGUCUGUCUUCUAUGGACUCUGAACAGAGGAUACUUAGAACCAACCAAGUUCUGUCACAUGUGGGUGUCAAAGAAAGAUCUCUAUGGAGACAUGCAGAGUGAAGUGUCUAACAAACAUCUUCAAGACAUGUACGAUACAGAAGAGGCAGUCUACAACAGUUGUGAAAGUGAAGUCACUAUAGAGCAUCUGAAGGAGAAGACAGGAGAUGUCCAAAACUUGAACUGCACCCUCGUGUGUACAGAACCCACAGUUGCAGCUAUGCAUGCCCAUGUUGCGUAUACCUCUGCGGCUACUCCGGAUGGUAAUUCGUGGUAUUUUGACAGUGGUUGCUCUAGACACAUGACCGGAGAUCGAAAUACUCUUGACGACUACACAAAUGUGUCAAGUGGAAAAGUCACCUUCGGGGAUGGCGGUAAGGGCAACAUAAAAGGAAAGGGUUUGAUUUCAAAAUCAAAUCAACCUCAAUUGGAAAAUGUCUACUUUGUUGAGGGAUUAAAGGCUAACUUGAUCAGCAUCAGUCAGCUCUGCGAUGAUGGCUUGAAAGUUUCUUUUACUAAGAUUAACUGUAGUGCCUGUGAUGAAAAUGAUAAUGAAGUGCUUUCAGGUGUGCGAUCAGAAAAUAAUUGCUAUAUGUGGAAGAAGUCUGAAACGUGUCUGUCGGCAACAACGUAUAAAUUAGAUCUGUGGCAUAGACGUCUGGGACAUAUUAACACACAGAGUUUGAUCAAGAUUGUGAAUGCAGAAGUGGUUAGAGGAAUUCCCAAGCUGGAAGGAAAAUCUGAUGCAGUUUGUGAGGCAUGUAGCAAGGGAAAGCAGAUCAAAGUUCAACACAAGAAAACAGCUAAUAUUGGAACAAAGAAAAUUCUUGAGCUUGUCCACAUGGACCUCAUGGGACCAAUGCAAACAGAAAGCCUGAAUGGGAAAAGGUAUGCCUUUGUUUUAGUUGAUGAUUUUUCAAGGUACACAUGGGUUAGAUUUUUAAGAGAAAAAUCAUAAGCAGUUGAAAGUUUUAGGAUUCUGGCUCUUCAGCUGCAAACUGAAAAGGGAAGCAUUGUCCAAAUCCGAAGUGAUCAUGGUGGUGAGUUUCAAAAUGAGGAGUUUGAAAAGUUCUGUAACCUACAAGGCAUCAGACAUCAAUAUUCUGCCCCAAGAACGCCACAACAGAAUGGAAUUGUUGAAAGGAAAAACAGAACUCUUCAAGAAAUGGCAAGGGCAAUGAUUCAUGGAAACAAUGUGUCACCUAGGUUCUGGGCUGAAGCAAUUAACACAGCCUGUUACAUCAUCAAUCGGGUUUAUGUUAAACCAAAAACGAGCACUACUCCUUACGAAAUUUGGAAAGGAAAGACACCAAAUCUGUGCUACUUUCAUACCUUUGGAUGCAUAUGCUACAUUCUAAAUGAUAAAGAUCAUCUUGGAAAAUUUGAUGCAAGGAGUGAUGAAGGGAUCUUUCUAGGAUAUGCAACAAAUAGCAUGGCUUACAGAGUGUAUAAUAAACGUCUUAAGAGAGUAGAGGAAUCUGUCAAUAUCGUGUUUGAUGACAGAAGUCCAACACAGUUGUUUCCAGUUGCUGUAGAUGAUGAAAAUCCUAAUGAGGAGGCUACUCAGGAAAAACCAGAAGAAGACCAAGAAAGGAUAAGUAACGAUAAUCAAGGUGAAACAUCAGAAACAGUGGGUGAAACUGCAAACACUCCGUUAAAAGUACCAAGACAUCACUCUGAAUCGGAUGUUAUUGGACACUUGAGAGGUGAUCGUACUACUCGGGGAGUCCAGAUUAACUUCAGAGAAAUGCUUCAACACUCAUGCUUUGUGUCUGUUAUGGAGCCCAAAGAUGUGUUUGCAGCUCUUGAAGAUGAGUUUUGGUUCUCAGCUUGUCAUGAAGAGUUAAACCAGUUUACCCGACAUGACGUGUGGAAUCUUGUUCCAAGACCUACUCACAUAAAUGUCGUGGGAACGAAAUGGAUUUUCAAGAACAAGAUUGAUGAAAAUGGAAAUGUAACAAGGAAUCGAGCAAGAUUGGUUGCUCAAGGAUAUUCACAGGUUGAAGGAGUAGACUUUGAUGAGACAUUUGCUCCUGUAGCUCGUCUAGAAUCUAUUCGGCUGCUUCUUGGUAUGGCAUUUCUUCUAAACAUCAAGAUGUUUCAAAUGGAUGUAAAGAGUGCUUUUCUAAAUGGAUUGAUCCAAGAAGAAGUCUACGUCUCUCAACCUAAAGGAUUUGAAGAUCCAAACUUUCCAGAUCAUGUCUACAAGCUGAAGAAAGCUCUCUAUGGAUUAAAGCAGGCUCCUCGUACUUGGUAUGAACGUCUUACUGAGUUUCUGGUUGAAAAUGGGUUCAAGCGUGGGAGUGUUGACAAAACCCUGUUUGUCUAUGAAGAAGGUGUGGACAUUCUUAUUGUCCAAAUAUAUGUUGAUGAUAUUGUGUUUGGAAGCACAAGAAAAGAAUUGGUGAAUACCUUUGUAAAGGUUAUGACAAAGGAAUUUGAGAUGAGUAUGGUUGGAGAAAUGAACUACUUUCUGGGUCUGCAAAUCAAACAGACAGAUGAUGGGAUUCAUAUAUCUCAGGGAAACUAUGCCAAGAGCUUAAUUCAAAGAUUUGGAAUGCAGACUAGCAAGACGUCCAGAACACCAAUGAGCUCCACUGUGAAACUAUCCAAAGAUGAAUCGGGACAGAAAGUUGAUGAAAAACUAUAUCGGGCUAUGAUUGGAAGUCUUCUGUAUCUCACUGCAAGCAGACCUGAUCUGUGCUUCAGCGUGGGAGUCUGUGCAAGAUAUCAGGCCGAUCCAAGAUUGUCUCAUCUGAACGCUGUUAAGAGGAUCAUCAAAUAUGUGAAAGGUACCACUGACCGAGGGUUGUAUUAUACUAAGCAAACUAAUCCGAAUCUUGCUGGUUUUUGUGACUCAGAUUGGGCAGGUAAUCUGGAUGAUAGAAGAAGUACCUCAGGCGGAUGCUUCUUUCUGGGAAAUAACCUCAUAUCCUGGCACAGUAAGAAGCAAAGCUGUGUAACCUUGUCAACAGCUGAAGCUGAAUACAUUGCCCUAGGAAGUUGCUGCACGCAAUUAAUGUGGAUGAAACAAAUGCUAUCUGACUAUGGUAUUGUUUCCUCAACCUUAUUUGUGUAUUGUGACAACAUGAGUGCUAUAAAUAUUUCAAAAAAUCCUGUCCAACACUCUCGUACAAAACAUAUUGACAUUAGACAUCAUUUCGUUAGAGAACUUGUUGAGAACAAAGUGAUAGAGAUCUCUCAUGUAUCCUCAGAAAAACAACUUGCUGAUAUGUUCACUAAACCAUUAGAUUUAAACAGUUUUGUAAAUCUGCAAAAAUCUAUUGGAUUGUGUGAUCACUAAUGAUUCUUGUCUUUAAGGCGUAUGCAACAGGUUCCUCUGUACAGGGUUGCAUAGCUUUGUGUCUGUAUUUUAAACAAAAAAAAAAAAAAAACUUUCAGCAAAUCUUCUCAGGAAAACAGCUGCUUCGCAUACUACUUGUCGAAGAAGUCCGAUACGGAUGUGUAGUGGCUGCAAGAAAAAGAAAAUCUCCAGAAAAGUGUAGGCAGGAAAGGGGUGAUACUUCUUUCUAUCUUCAAAGGUACAUCGUGUGUAUAUAUAUACUUUAUCAAAAAAAAAAAAAAAAGAAAAGUAAAAGUUAAAGGAUCCCUCUUCUCUCUGCUCAUAUCACCCCCCUCGCCGUGAGAGCAGCUCCUACACAUCUUGAGGAUGAAAUCUAAAGAAGUAUGCUAAGUGUAGACUAGCCUGAAGAGAUCAAUGUGUAUGUUUCAUCUCAUUGGGCUGCAAAGACUUUGUCUUCCAAGUAACUCAAGAACGUAAACAGCUAUGCACCUCUGUCCAAAGGAAUCUUUACAUAUAGUCUGGGAAUUGAACUCAGGUGUGUAUCAUCAAUCCUUGAGAUUUUGUUGUUUACAUUUCCUGUCAGUGUAUCUCCUAGGCUGUCUCUGGUGGUUAUUUUGUCUCAGUUCUUAUCUGCAUAAGUAUUUAUGUAUUUUGUAUCUCGUGUUGGGCCAUGGUUGGGCCUAUCUGUGGGCCUAAUUGGUUCUGUGUGGAUUUGAUCUGUUUGUUGAGUACUGUUCAGGCACACUAGGGUUGCAACUUAUAAGGACAUCAUCUAUAUCCUUUGCUCCCAUUCUCCACAACAAUUAAAGCGGCUACUUCUUUCAGAUCUGAUAAUCUUUUUGGUCAUCUGCAAACAUGUCCCAACCAAACGAUGGAUCUCGACCAGGUCAAUCGCAACUGUCCUCUGCUCAUCCUACUUCCGCUGCAACGACAAGUCAUGCGAUUCCUUCUCUUUUCUCGGGUGCCAAAUCUGGUGCACCUCCUGCAAAGAAAUCAAGAUCCAAAGUCGUUUCUCCUUCCCCAGAAGUCUAUCCUGCUCUUACUCGGUUUUUGCGCCGUCUUUCCUCCGCUCAAGUUCCCCUUUCGUAUUCUGCAUGUCUUCCUGAAGUUUCAGAAGCCCAAGUUCCGUUAGGACAACUUCAUCUCUCUGAUGAUACUACUGAGUCAUCUCCUCCACCGGAAUUCCUCAACCGGUACAUCUUGCAACGACGUCGCAUCGCCGAUCUGAUUAGACGGUUUCCUGAAUUAAACAGACCAGCCACUCCCAUUUUCUCGUCUCGGUUUAUCUCUGCUCAAGCUGCAGAGCGAUUCCAGUUUCUCCAUGGUCAAGCCUUCAUUCCCAUGAAGAUUCUAUCGGCUGAAAUACAAAAUGAUGAUGUUCGUUCCAUCCUGUUCAGGGCAGACCUUCUUCCAACAGUUACUGAGAUUGACAGUUUCAUCGAAACGAUGGUCAAGGAAUUCUAUGCCAAUCUUCCGGAGGCUGAAGGUAGGGACUCUGAGGUUCUCAGAGUCUUUGUUAGAGGGUCCAUGUAUGAGUUCUCACCGUCUCUCAUCAAUCGCCUCUUCCAACUGCCAAAUGAGCCAUAUCCUUUGAAUACAUCUCAACUUCGGGCCUUCGGAGAUCUUGAUGCUGUGGCUGCUCUCCUUACUGAUGGGCAAGUGUCAACUGUGGCUGAAGUGUCAACCGGUCUUCUUGGCGAUAUCAUCACUGUUCUUCAUCAAAUCAGCUGCUUCAACUGGUUACCUUCCACGAAUCAUCGUGCUCUGUCCCCUGACAGAUGUGUUCUUCUCUACUUAAUUGCCAAAGGGGAGCGCUUAAACUUUGGAAAGAUCGUGUUUGAUGAGAUUCGCUCGUGUGCAUCUCGCUCGGGUGCUGCCUCAUCGACUGAUUGUUUAAUCUUCCCCAACCUGAUUGAUCAGCUGUUACGUUUUCAGCGGGUCAUUCCAUCUCUGACUGGUGAUGUCUUGUCCUCUACUCCUACAAUGUUUGUGACCCCGGAAGCGACUGCGCCUACUUCUGGUCCCUCACUGACCUUGGCUGCUGAUCUUGCUCAUCUAGCCCACUCUGCUACGACCAUCAUGCAACGAUUCUCAAGUAAGUCCUUCUUGUUCUUAGUCUACUUCUCUGUUUCACACCUGUUUUUUAUAUGAGUCUGUGCACUCAAGCAGGGGGAGAAUAUGUUGAUGUCUGUGCUCGUAAACUUAAGGAGCACACAGAAAGCGACAACCUUGAUACUGCGGAUAGUGACUAGUUUGUUCAGUAGAUCUUCUGUUUAGGGGGAGUAGUGAGUUGUAUUUGAUGAUUUUAGAAUUAUCCAUGUUUAAGUAUAUUUGAAACAUGUGCUUGUUUCAAAUGAUUGUAUGUGCUGAACCUUGUCCUCUUAAUCUAUCCUUCUCUAAGUCCUCUGGAUCAAUUUGGAACGAAACUGUUGUAUUUUGUAUUGCCUUUGCUGCGUGUGUCUGUUUGUUCGUGUGCAGGUAGCUUGAGGCACAUACUCAGACAAAAAGGGGGAGAUUGAAGAAACAGAGUGUCUGAAGGACCAACAGUUGCAGAACCUGAAAAAUGCUCAGAAGGACUCUUAGAAGCACGAUGCCACGCUGGCAUCUUGUUGACAACGCAACACUUCGAUCGUGAUGAGAAGCAGCACGUUUGGUGCCCAACGUUGGUAACGAAGUCAAAGGGCAAAAGUGACAGCUACAGCAAAAAGCAUGUAAAGUUGUCAGACAAAAGGUGGUUGUUGUUGGCUAGUGGGAAGCUAGUGAAGUCAACAUCAUGACAAGAAGCUGCGCAGUGUCCGCUGGAUAAAGAGAGGACCUGCGAGUUGUUUUGUUGCCUAUAUAAGAAGAGAGCUUUCUUCUUAUUAGGGUUAGCACUUUAAGAAAAAAAAGUGUGAGAGUUCUUUGUGUUCAUAUCUGAGUUUUAAACGAAGAAUCGUUGUGGGUUCUUUUGGUGAGUGAACAAAAGAGUGUGCAUAGCUGUUGCUGUGCUUGUAAACUGGGUAGAUUAGGAAU